rnacentral:lncRNA from 1 species
AAGCUCCUCAACCUCUACCUAUGGUGACAGUCAAGAGGAUCAUCAUCUGGUUGUAAAUAUCAAACAAGAAAAUGUCUAUAAUAAUAAGCCUUGUAAAUCUGAGCUUUCCCAUCAAGGAAACCUUUCCUCAAAGUCUAAAAUAGUGUAGACGAUAGGGUAUAAUGUAAGAUAUUGAGACUCUUUGGCCUAACGGAAUAUUAUAUCAAUGAGAACCAUGUGAUCACUCGUGAUUGCUUUACUUUAACUUGGCGAGAGCCGAGAGGAGAGAUAAAUAAAGGAGCGAAAGCUGUUCAACCAAGCAAACUCGCAAAUGAGUAAAUACCAGAUCUAUUCCUCUUCGGUUUCUCUUAUACAUAUAUACACUACAUCUUCUUCCUUGCGAUAUGUAGUAGAUAAUAAACUAAAAAAAGAGUGAAAUUCUUGGUAAUGCAAGUUUGUAGCCAAUUAGAAUGCCCUUUUUUCAAAAAAAAAAAAUGUUUGUAGCCAAUUAAUUCUCCAAAAAAAAUUAUGUAACCAACUCAUGGUGACUGAAUCGUUGAGAGAAUCACUACUAGCUAGCUAGUUAAUUAAUCCACAUAGCUAGAUGGAAGAUUGGUAUAAUAUUCUCCAUGCCAAAAAUCAAAAAUAACUGGACGCUUAUUAGUUUACUAUAACAUGUAAAUGUUUCUGCAUGGUUAACAAAAUUAUAAUUCAUGCACUUUUUACGUAGAAUAGAAGAUUUCUCUGCUUUUAAGUUUUAACCCAAAAUGGUUUGGAACCCAACCGUAAUUUUCCCAGUUAUUAAUUACCACUCUUUUGGAUAUUUCCGCCACAUACGUUGUCUAUAUCCAAAAACAUUGGGAUCUAUUUUAAUUAGAUAUACCAAAACAUGUAGAAGGGACAUGUUACCAACAGAGAAGUUUUCCUGUAAAAAUUAUAUAUAUGUGUAAAGUUCUGAAAUAAAGUACAAUGCACAUGAAACACUAAAUACAUGUAUUUCUUUCAUACACAACGACAUGGAUAUAAAUCCAACAUUAUCUGCGUAUUUAAAAAAACUAGACAAUGUAUGAGGGGGGCUUGAGUGUGACAAUCAACCAUGUGAAAUCUUGCUGUUUUAUAUAUUAUCUUAGUCUUUUUGCUUUAUUUAAUUGUUAUUUUACUAUAUCUGGCGAUAAGCUUAUGCCAACUGACUUUCAAAUUAAAUUGAAUAUCCUGGAUUUGUAGGUUGUUGGAUCUAAUGUACGUUAUAAAUAAUAAAACAACAAGACACAAAUUAAUAUUUUAUUUUGUAUAUCCAGUGAUUUAACAACUAGAAAUACGCUUUUUCCAUCCAGUUAGGAAUAGAUGCUUAACAGAAAAAAAAAACAAUAAAAUGUCUAUUAAAAACUAAUGGAUGAUUAUUAUGUUUUACAAGAUGUUUAAACUUUGGAAAGAUUCUACUCUUGUGUUGUCUCCUUCCGGACACACUAGUAGUAUUAUUUAAAAGAGGAUCUCAAACUACAUAUGGAAUACGGUGACUAAUCAAUUGUGGCUAUAUUAUUAGCCUGGGAAUAUAAAUUACUAGGAUAAGAUCUGCGCCUUGCGCAGAGUGAGUUUAUUUGUAUAUAUUAUCGAUAGUUUCUUUUAUAUAUUUGAUCAUUUUAUUUAUAUAUAUAUAAUUUUUUUGUUGUUAUUAUAUAAUUUCUUUCCGAUGGAUCAUUUCAAUUUUUAUUAAAAAUAAUGAAACAAAACUAUAAUUAAUACAUCAUGGGUUGAUCGAAUUGGACAUUAAACAAAUUAUGACAUAAAAACCUUAUUUUUUCCAUCAAACACAUUCUUGAAAAAAGUGAACAGUAUUGUUUUCACAGUUGAAUUAUUUUAACUUUUAUCUUCCGAAUAGACUCUUUGUGUUUAAAUGGAUAAUCUUAUUGGAAUUAAUAGAUAAACGUCUAGCUCGAGUUUAUGAAAAGUCUUGGCCCCCGAAAAAAAAAAUAUAUAUAUAUAUAUAUAAAAAAAAAAGAAAAGGAGGCUAGCAAAGUUGUUUAGAGCUAAGAUUUGUUUAGAAGUUGAGAAAAUCCUUUAUAGAUUUGAAAGAAAAAGAGUUUUAUGUGCAGAAUAUCCUGGAUUUGUAGGUUGUUGGAUCUAAUGUACGUUAUAAACAAUAAAACAACAAGACACAAAUUAAUAUUUUAUUUUGUAUAUCCAGUGAUUUAACAACUAGAAAUACGCUUUUUCCAUCCAGUCAGGAAUAGAUGCUUAACAGAAAAAAAAAACAAUAAAAUGUCUAUUAAAAAGUAAUGGAUGAUUAUUAUGUUUUACAAGAUGUUUAAACUUUGGAAAGAUUCUACUCUUGUGUUGUCUCCUUCCGGACACACACUAGUAGCAUUAGUUAAAAGAGGAUCUCAGAAUACAUAUGGAAUACGGUGAUUAAUCAAUUGUGGCUAUAUUAUUAGCCUGGAAAUAUAAAGUAUUUUUUGUUUGUAAUAACGUAAAAUGAGAAAAUUCAAGAUCCUUGCACGAAGAAAAAAAUUAACUUGUUUUCGGCCUCCGGUCAAUAUUAAACGAUUUCGCAUUUUAAACCAUUUAUUAUUAAUACUCUAAAUAAACUUACAAUAUUGACAUUUGACCCCAAUAUAAAGUCAUAAACAGAGCUUUGAAAAAUAUUUAUGGGGAAGAAAUCAAAUCUAAUAAACUUACUCCUACCUUACACGACCUUACAAAUAUUUGACUUCAAUAUCAAGAACCACAAAAAAAAAAAUUCCGAAUUGAAAAUUCCAGAUAAUCAGCAAGAAAAUGACGUGGACCAAUGAGAUUUAAACGUGCACGGAUCAGUAUCAUAAUAAAUAAUAUUCCCUCAAACGGAAUAUUUUUUUUAUCCGAUCCCGAAAUUAACUCGCUUUCGGACAAUAGCAUUGGAAAAUAGGUUUCGUGUAAUGAGAGGAUGCUCCACGUGUCGUUAAUAAAGAUGGAGAAGUUAGAAAAGCGACCGGCUUCAGCCGGUAAAACCAAUAUCCGCGAACCACCAUACCCGGUUGUGUGGUUAAUAUUUUUUAUUUUUUUUCCGGAAAAAGAAUAAUAAAAUGGGGGUUUAAGCCAUUGUUUUCGGUUGUGGUAUCUUUUGAGAGGGUUUUAUGUCUUCUUUCUUCUUCGUUACUUCUAUUCUAAAAGAGAGAGAGAGAGAGAACGAGAGGAGUAAAACGAAACAAAACAAAAACAGAGGAUGAUCGCGAAAUCAUCAUCCUAAGAUCUUCGAGAAAUUCUGUGUAAAUUUGUGUUUGUUAAUUUCUCCAUUGUAGAGGUAGCUAUCCUUCUGAAUCAGAUCCGUGAAAGGGUUAGUGACUUCUCAUGAUCACAAUUAAUGAUCACGAUUCUUUUUUUUCCUUUUUUUUUUGAUUAGUAUCAACGUGUUUUUACGUGAAUUGUGAUGGUAAAUUAUUUGAAUCUGACGUAAAAAAAUUCGAAUUUUUGAAUAAAAUGUUUUCGUGUCUGGUCUGAAAGUUGGCAUUUUUCAGCGAGAUCUGAUCAGUUUUUUUUUUCUUUUGUUUGUUUGUUUCUACGUAAAUUGUUUUUAAAAAGUUCAUAUAUUUGAGUUUUAUGUUUCGUUGUUAAUUCUGAUCUGUAUACUCUGUCGUUUCAUCAGACCUUCAACAUUCAUUAAACUCUACCUGAAUCUGUAGAGUUAUUAGUUUCACAAUUGCUUAAAAAUUAUACUCUUUAUUUUGGUGGAGAUUUAGAAGAUUUAUGCUGAAUCUUUGCAGAUUGUCUGAGAGAUGGUGGUCAAGAGGAGGUUAAACUGUGGCUUUGAUUUCUCGAGUGUUCCCAAGGCUCCUCGUUCAACCAGGGUAAUGAAUAUUCGUGUGCUUCAUUUCGAUUAGUUUAAUGUUUUUCUUUUUUUAUUAAUUUGUGUCUGAUGACUUGUGGUUGAUAUUUUUAUAGAUGAAGGUCUCAAGUAAGAGAGAUGACGUUGACAGUCAGCUCACUGCCUUUGAUUUGCUCGCUUCUCUUGCUGGAAAGCUACUGGAAGAAAGCGAAAGCUCCUCAACCUCUACCUAUGGUGACAGUCAAGAGGAUCAUCAUCUGGUUGUAAAUAUCAAACAAGAAAAUGUCUAUAAUAAUAAGCCUUGUAAAUCUGAGCUUUCCCAUCAAGGAAACCUUUCCUCAAAGUCGCCUAGUGAGAACACUAGCGAGACGUGUUUGCAAGUUUCCUCUUUGGAAAAUGAUUGCGUUUUGGAUAAGGCACCUGUUUCUGAUUGUGGUAAGAUAGCUCUUGGUCUGAA